rnacentral:rRNA from 1 species
GACGAACGCUGGCGGCGUGCUUAACACAUGCAAGUCGAACGGAAAGGCCCUGCUUUUGUGGGGUGCUCGAGUGGCGAACGGGUGAGUAACACGUGAGUAACCUGCCCUUGACUUUGGGAUAACUUCAGGAAACUGGGGCUAAUACCGGAUAGGAGCUCCUGCUGCAUGGUGGGGAUUGGAAAGUUUCGGCGGUUGGGGAUGGACUCGCGGCUUAUCAGCUUGUUGGUGGGGUAGUGGCUUACCAAGGCUUUGACGGGUAGCCGGCCUGAGAGGGUGACCGGCCACAUUGGGACUGAGAUACGGCCCAGACUCCUACGGGAGGCAGCAGUGGGGAAUAUUGCACAAUGGGCGGAAGCCUGAUGCAGCAACGCCGCGUGCGGGAUGACGGCCUUCGGGUUGUAAACCGCUUUCGCCUGUGACGAAGCGUGAGUGACGGUAAUGGGUAAAGAAGCACCGGCUAACUACGUGCCAGCAGCCGCGGUGAUACGUAGGGUGCGAGCGUUGUCCGGAUUUAUUGGGUGUAAAGGGCUCGUAGGUGGUUGAUCGCGUCGGAAGUGUAAUCUUGGGGCUUAACCCUGAGCGUGCUUUCGAUACGGGUUGACUUGAGGAAGGUAGGGGAGAAUGGAAUUCCUGGUGGAGCGGUGGAAUGCGCAGAUAUCAGGAGGAACACCAGUGGCGAAGGCGGUUCUCUGGGCCUUUCCUGACGCUGAGGAGCGAAAGCGUGGGGAGCGAACAGGCUUAGAUACCCUGGUAGUCCACGCUGUAAACGGUGGGUACUAGGUGUGGGGUCCAUUCCACGGGUUCCGUGCCGUAGCUAACGCUUUAAGUACCCCGCCUGGGGAGUACGGCCGCAAGGCUAAAACUCAAAGGAAUUGACGGGGCCCCGCACAAGCGGCGGAGCAUGCGGAUUAAUUCGAUGCAACGCGUAGAACCUUACCUGGGUUUGACAUGGAUCGGGAGCGCUCAGAGAUGGGUGUGCCUCUUUUGGGGUCGGUUCACAGGUGGUGCAUGGCUGUCGUCAGCUCGUGUCGUGAGAUGUUGGGUUAAGUCCCGCAACGAGCGCAACCCUUGUUCACUGUUGCCAGCACGUUAUGGUGGGGACUCAGUGGAGACCGCCGGGGUCAACUCGGAGGAAGGUGGGGAUGACGUCAAGUCAUCAUGCCCCUUAUGUCCAGGGCUUCACGCAUGCUACAAUGGCUGGUACAGAGAGUGGCGAGCCUGUGAGGGUGAGCGAAUCUCGGAAAGCCGGUCUCAGUUCGGAUUGGGGUCUGCAACUCGACCUCAUGAAGUCGGAGUCGCUAGUAAUCGCAGAUCAGCAACGCUGCGGUGAAUACGUUCCCGGG